UACGAAGGGGGGCUAGCGUUGCUCGGAAUGACUGGGCGUAAAGGGCGCGUAGGCGGUUUGUACAGUCAGGUGUGAAAUUCCCGGGCUCAACCUGGGGGCUGCACUUGAUACGUAUGGACUGGAGUGGGGAAGAGGGUCGUGGAAUUCCCAGUGUAGAGGUGAAAUUCGUAGAUAUUGGGAAGAACACCGGUGGCGAAGGCGGCGACCUGGUCCUUGACUGACGCUGAGGAGCGAAAGCCAGGGGAGCAAACGGG
rnacentral:rRNA from 1 species